GAUGAACGCUGGCGGCGUGCCUAAUACAUGCAAGUCGAGCGAACAGACGAGGAGCUUGCUCCUCUGACGUUAGCGGCGGACGGGUGAGUAACACGUGGAUAACCUACCUAUAAGACUGGGAUAACUUCGGGAAACCGGAGCUAAUACCGGAUAAUAUAUUGAACCGCAUGGUUCAAUAGUGAAAGACGGUUUUGCUGUCACUUAUAGAUGGAUCCGCGCCGCAUUAGCUAGUUGGUAAGGUAACGGCUUACCAAGGCAACGAUGCGUAGCCGACCUGAGGGGGUGAUCGGCCACACUGGAACUGUGACACGGUCCAGACUCCUACGGGAGGCAGCAGUAGGGAAUCUUCCGCAAUGGGCAAAAGCCUGACGGAGCAACGCCGCGUGAGUGAUGAAGGUCUUCGGAUCGUAAAACUCUGUUAUUAGGGAAGAACAAAUGUGUAAGUAACUAUGCACGUCUUGACGGUACCUAAUCAGAAAGCCACGGCUAACUACGUG
rnacentral:rRNA from 1 species